rnacentral:sRNA from 1 species
CCCUAGCCCCGAUUGAAGCGGCAUCCUUUUUUGCCAUUAAAAGCAAAAAAGAUAUAGCGGAAAGCGGGAUUAGCU